rnacentral:rRNA from 1 species
GAUGAACGCUGGCGGCGUGCCUAAUACAUGCAAGUAGAACGCUGAAGGAGGAGCUUGCUCUUCUGGAUGAGUUGCGAACGGGUGAGUAACGCGUAGGUAACCUGCCUGGUAGCGGGGGAUAACUAUUGGAAACGAUAGCUAAUACCGCAUGACAACAGUUAUUGCAUGAUAACUGUUUAAAAGGGGCAACUGCUCCACUACCAGAUGGACCUGCGUUGUAUUAGCUAGUUGGUGAGGUAACGGCUCACCAAGGCGACGAUACAUAGCCGACCUGAGAGGGUGAUCGGCCACACUGGGACUGAGACACGGCCCAGACUCCUACGGGAGGCAGCAGUAGGGAAUCUUCGGCAAUGGACGGAAGUCUGACCGAGCAACGCCGCAUGAGUGAAGAAGGUUUUCGGAUCGUAAAGCUCUGUUGUAAGAGAAGAACGAGUGUGAGAGUGGAAAGUUCACACUGUGACGGUAUCUUACCAGAAAGGGACGGCUAACUACGUG